CGGCCUUGUACACACCGCCCGUCACAUCAUGAAAGCCGUUUGUACCCGAAGUCAUCCCUCAAAAAGAUGCCGAAGGUAUGGAUGGUGAUUGGGAUG
rnacentral:rRNA from 1 species